rnacentral:rRNA from 1 species
GACAGAGGUGCCAAGCGUUAGGCGGAAUCACUGGGCUUAAAGCGUGUGUAGGCGGGCGGGCAAGUACCUUGUGAAAUCCCACGGCUCAACCGUGGAACGGCUGGGUAUACUGCCUGUCUUGAGCCAGCUAGGGGCGACCGGAACAGACGGUGGAGCGGUGAGAUGCGUAGAUAUCGUCUGGAACGCCAAAGGUGAAAACAGGUCGCUGGGGCUGAGCUGACGCUGAGACACGAAAGCCAGGGGAGCGAACGGG